AAGCCUGUCUGCAGAGAAAAGUGACUAUACAUCUGGAAAUAUCUGGAUUAAGGACUGACAGUGUCCGUGCAAGUAGAAAGGAAUUAUCUCCUGUAACCCCCAACCCACCAAGGUCCUCUGAAGAUAUCACUGCUAUCAAAACAGCCUUGCCACAGAGGAGAGCCCUAGCUGGGACUUUCCGUUUUACAGAAGCAUGAGCUAUGCCCUCAGUUGAGAACUAACAGCUGAAACCAACCACAGUGAAGGCACCAGUGAAGACCAAUUCCCAGACCAGGGGUUGAGAACUCAAGACUCAUUCUAGGCUCUGCUCCAACCCCCAUUUUGGUUUCGAACACGUCCUUCAGAUUCUUUCUGGGAGUGCAUUCCUGGUGAUUCUGCUCCCCAUAUGUGCUUCCAUCGUCAUCUAGCAGGUGCUCUGGAGUUUAUUGUCUCUGUGGCCUAUAGCGGAGAAGCUGAACCCCCUGGCUGAUGUCAUGGAGGGGACUUUGUACGUGUCCCUGAUCCCACUUCACCAGCCUUGCAAAACCAGGGCCUAUCUCAACGUCCACCUCACCUGACUUGGAAGUUUGAAGAACCUCUGUCCCCACGCCUGUUCCGUGCUUUGCCCAGCACACAUGGGACAGACAACUGCAUUGCUACUACAACGUGUGAUACCUGUUUGGAGAGUGAAGUAAAACUCCCAUUACUACUGAGGAUUGGGAGGCAGUAUGGAUUCUUCCGGGGGAGGCCUGAUUGGGUAACAGACGCCAGCAUCAUUGUGGAUGCCAGUGGUGUUCCAAUCCUCUACCGCCAGCAGUUAGCUGCAUAAUCUUGAGCAAGUUGCCCAACUCUGAACCGAGGUGUCCUCAUCCAUAAAAGGGAAGUAAUACCACCAGCUUCACAGGAUUGUUUGUGGAUCGAAGAUAAUGAGUGAAAAGGACUUGGCACGGGAUAAAGUCAACACAUGUUGGGUUUUAAUGUCAUCGCUAGACGUUUUAUCAGCGAGGCAGAGCUGACGGGACGCUCAGGAUGGAUUGCUUGGAGACUUGGGUCCUGAGACUCACUCUUCCAGGAACCAGUGAGGAAAUCUCUUCCCCUGUCGUGCUGCCGCUCCCUCACUUACAGUCUCAGGAGAUCCGACUAGAUCUCAUUUAAAAUUCAUCCAAUCCCCCAGUCCUGUGCUUCCGAUUCAGCCUCCACUAAAUACUCCUUGCCAUUGUCUCAUUUACUUUUUGGAAGGGCCCAAUAAAGUGGAGAUCAGCGAAUCUAUUUGUCCCAGGCAAGGACACUGGGGUUCACAGAGGGUCUCAGAGCCAGACUGGGGAGGAGCUGAGUGUUGGUCCUACCGACUCACAUCUUUCUAAUCCUCCUGAGUUCAGAGUAAGUGCAAGGAAAUUCAAUCAGAGGCACGCUGUAUACCUCAUCAAGCUGAGGCCACGCCCCAGAGUCCAGAUGGGUCCCUGAGCUCAGAGCCCAUUGAUCAGCUUCUCCCAAGGGAUCUCCUUUGCCCUGUGUUCACCAAGCAGUCAUCUGAGUGUCCUCUCAGCAGCCGGCUGUUAAUUAGCCUGGAAAUGACAGC
ensembl:lncRNA